rnacentral:rRNA from 1 species
CGUCAAGAUAGUAAGGGCGUACGGUGGAUGCCUUGGCACCAGGAGUAGAUGAAGGACGUGGACGGCUGCGAUAAGCCGCGGUGAGGCGCUGAACAGCCUUUGACCCGCGGAUUUCCGAAUGGGGAAACCCGGCGCUGGUAAUGCGGCGUCAUCUGUCGGUGAAUACAUAGCCGGCAGAGUGCAAGCGAGCGAACUGAAACAUCUAAGUAGCUCGAGGAAAGAAAAUCAAACGAGACUCCCUGAGUAGUGGCGAGCGAAAAGGGAUCAGCCCAAACC